UACUCCUACGGGAGGCAGCAGUGGGGAAUCUUGGACAAUGGGGGCAACCUUGAUCCAGCAAUGCCGCGUGUGGGAUGAAGGCCUUCGGGUUGUAAACCACUUUUGGCGGGGGCGAAAUAUCGAGUGCUAAUACCAUUCGAUGAUGACGGUACCCGCAGAAUAAGCACCGGCUAACUACGUGCCAGCAGCCGCGGUAAUACGUAGGGUGCGAGCGUUAAUCGGAAUUACUGGGCGUAAAGCGUGCGCAGGCGGUUAGGUAAGACAGAUGUGAAAUUCCCGGGCUCAACCUGGGAACUGCAUUUGUGACUGCCUGACUAGAGUGCGGCAGAGGGGAGUGGAAUUCCGCGUGUAGCAGUGAAAUGCGUAGAUAUGC
rnacentral:rRNA from 1 species